GGGUCCCCUCCCUUUAUAUGGGAGCUCUGUUUUCACCCUAUUAAAUCUUGCAACUGCACUUUUCUGGUCCAUGUUUGUUACAGCUUGAGCUGAGCUUUCGCUCGCCAUCCACCACUGCUGUUUGCCGUUGUGCCGGACCCGCCACUGACUUCUAUCCCUCCGGAUCCGGCAGGGUGUCUGCUGUGCUCCUGAUCCAGCGAGGCGCCCAUUGCUGCUCCCGAUCAGGCUAAAGGCUUGCCAUUGUUCCUGCACGGCUAAGUGCCUGGGUUCGUCCUAAUCGAGCUGAACACUAGUUACUGGGUUCCAUGGUUCUCUUCUGUGAUCCAUGGCUUCUAAUAGAGGUAUAACACUCACCUGGCAUGGCCCAGGAUUCCAUUCCUUGGGAUCCGUGAGGCCAAGAACCCCAGGUCAGAGAACACGAGGCUUGCCACCAUCUUGGAAGCGGCCCACCACCAUCUUGGAAGCUGCUAGCCACCAUCUUGGAAGUUCUGUGAACAAGGACCCCCGGUAACAUUUUGGCGACCACGAAGGGACCUCCAAAGUGAUGGAGGCUCUCUCUCUGUGCAACUGGGGGUGUGGUGAUGCAAAUAUCCUUCUGGCCACCGCCACUGGGGCCGUGCUGGGUCAGACCUGAAGGCAGCACAGCACUGGAUUUCACCUGAGGCCCUCUAUAAUCACUACCCGGCUGCCACCUAUGUUCACUCAAGACCCUAUGUUCAUUCAACGGCUCUAUAAUCAGCAGAUGGCAAAUCCAGCCAGGUUCAUGUGCUUCCCUUCAGGAUGAACUUUGGAUGCCAUUCCACUUGAAGUCAAGAGAAGAAUACCUAAAGAGUCCUCAGUCCAGGGCCAGCCACUUACCUAUUAAGCAUGCAACUCACUUGCCUGAAGGGGGCAAUGGCAAGGCAGUCUCACGGACUAAGCAAGCUAUGAUGUUAGUUACAAGGAAAGUAUGACAAUAUCCUAUGGGAUGUGCACAAGGAGAGUAUCUUCUGGGAUAUGCCCAAGCCUGCGGAACAACAGACCUUUAUUUCUAGUGCAUAUGUAUUUUUUAUGAAUAGGAAUAUUGUGAUUAAUUCAG
rnacentral:lncRNA from 1 species